rnacentral:rRNA from 1 species
GAUGAACGCUGGCGGCGUGCCUAAUACAUGCAAGUCGAGCGAACGGACGAGAAGCUUGCUUCUCUGAUGUUAGCGGCGGACGGGUGAGUAACACGUGGAUAACCUACCUAUAAGACUGGGAUAACUUCGGGAAACCGGAGCUAAUACCGGAUAAUAUUUUGAACCGCAUGGUUCAAAAGUGAAAGACGGUCUUGCUGUCACUUAUAGAUGGAUCCGCGCUGCAUUAGCUAGUUGGUAAGGUAACGGCUUACCAAGGCAACGAUGCAUAGCCGACCUGAGAGGCGGAUCGGCCACACUGGAACUGAGACACGGUCCAGAGUACUACGGGAGGCAGCAGUAGGGAAUCUUACGCAAUGGGCGAAAGCCUGACGGAGCAACGCCGCGUGAGUGAUGAAGGUCUUCGGAUCGUAAAACUCUGUUAUUAGGGAAGAACAUAUGUGUAAGUAACUGUGCACAUCUUGACGGUACCUAAUCAGAAAGCCACGGCUAACUACGUG